rnacentral:rRNA from 1 species
AGCGAACGCUGGCGGCAGGCUUAACACAUGCAAGUCGAACGGGCGUAGCAAUACGUCAGUGGCAGACGGGUGAGUAACGCGUGGGAACGUACCUUUUGGUUCGGAACAACCCAGGGAAACUUGGGCUAAUACCGGAUAAGCCCUUACGGGGAAAGAUUUAUCGCCGAAAGAUCGGCCCGCGUCUGAUUAGCUAGUUGGUGUGGUAACGGCGCACCAAGGCGACGAUCAGUAGCUGGUCUGAGAGGAUGAUCAGCCACAUUGGGACUGAGACACGGCCCAAACUCCUACGGGAGGCAGCAGUGGGGAAUAUUGGACAAUGGGCGCAAGCCUGAUCCAGCCAUGCCGCGUGAGUGAUGAAGGCCCUAGGGUUGUAAAGCUCUUUUGUGCGGGAAGAUAAUGACGGUACCGCAAGAAUAAGCCCCGCUAACUUCGUGCCAGCAGCCGCCGUAAG